rnacentral:misc_RNA from 1 species
AACGCACAUUGCGCCCCUUGGUACUCCUUGGGGCAUGCCUGUUCGAGCGCCGUUUGAUCUAAAGCUUUGCUUUGCGUUGAGCAUUCCGAAUCGGAAGCUUCAAAUAUAGAUGCCCAGACGGCUUGCGUAAAGCAGUGAAAUGCUAAGCGUCUGUCGGCUCGGCAAGUAAACGACCGCAUGGCCUCGAAUCAGGUAGGGCUACCCGCUGAACUUAA